GCAACCAGGCCAGGCCAGUGUGUGGGUGGGGCUGCUUUAAAGACUUAUUGCCCCAAAACCCAGGCGUGAUUCUUUCAUUUUGCUUCUUCUGCAAGCGGGACUCUUCCGGAAUCCACACAAGAUUCCCCACGCAGGAUCCACACAGGGAGCCACACAGCCAAAAGCAGCUCAGGUCUUCCAUCACAGGGGCCUUGGUUGGGUCAGAGGAACAGAGAGAAGCUUUUCCUGGCUUCCAUACUUCCAAAUCCCGAAGAUCGGCUCUGAUUGGCUUAGCGGGCACCAUCUAAGGAAACUGAUGCGCAGAGACGAAGUAACUUGCCCAAGUCCACACGGCCAGUAAACAGCAAGCAAUGGGAUUUGAUCCGAGGCAGUCUGGCUCAAACACGUGCCCUCGCAAAAGCCACCAUCUUGAAUAUAUUUAUGUUUAGAUAUGUCCGUUUUUGUCAAAAAUAAUAAUAAGAAGUAACGU